rnacentral:rRNA from 1 species
ACCAACCCUAGCCCUAUGCCUAACUUACUGAACUAUUUUAUUAUAUAAACUAAACCAUUCAUACACUGAAGUAUUGGCGAAAGAAACUUUCAACAGGAGCUAUAGAGAAAGUACCGCAAGGGAAAGAUGAAAUAAUUACAAUAAAAGUACUAAUAAGCAAAGAUUAAAACUUGUACCUUUUGCAUAAUGGAUUAGCUAGAACACUACUAACUAAGAGACCUUAAGCUAGAAACCCCGAAACCAAACGAGCUACCCGAAAGCAACCAUCAGGGUGCACCCCUCUAUGUAGCAAAAUAGUGGGAAGACUUCCGGGUAGAGGUGAAAAGCCUACCGAGCUUGGUGAUAGCUGGUUACCCACUAAAUGAAUUUUAGUUCAACUUUAAGCUUACCAUACGGACCUCAAACCUAAAUGUAAACUUAAAAUAUAAUCUAAAAAGGGACAGCUCUUUAGAUAAUGGACACAACCUCAGGCAGUAAAUAAGUCUGUAUAACAACCAUUGUUGGCCUAAAAGCAGCCACCAACAAAGAAAGCGUUCAAGCUCAAAAGCCCCAAAAAACUUAAUUCCUCAAUCCAAAACAAAUUUCUGCCAUAUUAAGUGGGUCAAUCUAUUUAUUAAUAGAAGAGAUAAUGCUAGUAUAAGUAACAAGAACACUAUUCUCCCAGCACAAGCCUAUAACAACUCGGAUGCCCAUUGUUAAUUAACAUAACUAAAUAUAUAAACAAAUAUAAACCCUAUUUUAACUUAAUAUGUUAACCCGACACAGGAGUGCUAUAAGGAAAGAUUAAAAGGAAUAAAAGGAACUCGGCAAACACGAGCCCCGCCUGUUUACCAAAAACAUCACCUCUAGCAUUUCAAGUAUUAGAGGCACUGCCUGCCCAGUGACUAACGUUCAACGGCCGCGGUAUCCUGACCGUGCAAAGGUAGCAUAAUCACUUGUUCCUUAAUUAGGGACUAGAAUGAACGGCUAAACGAGGGCCCAACUGUCUCUUAUUCCCAAUCAGUGAAAUUGACCUUUCCGUGAAGAGGCGGAAAUUAAAUUAUAAGACGAGAAGACCCUAUGGAGCUUAAAUUUCCUAACCUAAGUACAUACACAAUUAACCUACUGGACUAACACCCAAACCACUGGGUUAGUAAUUUUGGUUGGGGUGACCUCGGAGAACAAAAAAACCUCCGAAAGAUAUUAAUCUAGACACACAAGUCAAAAUAACAUUUUAUCCAAUUGACCCAAUUCUUUUGAUCAACGGACCAAGUUACCCUAGGGAUAACAGCGCAAUCCUAUUCAAGAGUUCAUAUCGACAAUUAGGGUUUACGACCUCGAUGUUGGAUCAGGACAUCCCAAUGGUGCAGAAGCUAUUAAAGGUUCGUUUGUUCAACGAUUAAAGUCCUACGUGAUCUGAGUUCAGACCGGAGCAAUCCAGGUCGGUUUCUAUCUAUAUACGAUUUCUCCCAGUACGAAAGGACAAGAGAAAUAAAGCCACCUUACCUUAAGUGCUUUAAAACAAUAUAUGAAAUUAUCUUAAUUUAAUACAUCCGUCACACAUGCCCCUAGAAAAGGGGCA